rnacentral:rRNA from 1 species
GAUGAACGCUGGCGGCGUGCUUAACACAUGCAAGUCGAACGGAAAGGCCCAAGCUUGCUUGGGUACUCGAGUGGCGAACGGGUGAGUAACACGUGGGUGAUCUGCCCUGCACUUCGGGAUAAGCCUGGGAAACUGGGUCUAAUACCGGAUAGGACGAUGGUUUGGAUGCCAUUGUGGAAAGUUUUUUCGGUGUGGGAUGAGCUCGCGGCCUAUCAGCUUGUUGGUGGGGUAAUGGCCUACCAAGGCGUCGACGGGUAGCCGGCCUGAGGGGGUGUACGGCCACAUUGGGACUGAGAUACGGCCCAGACUCCUACGGGAGGCAGCAGUGGGGAAUAUUGCACAAUGGGCGCAGGCCUGAUGCAGCGACGCCGCGUGGGGGAUGACGGCCUUCGGGUUGUAAACUCCUUUCGCUAGGGACGAAGCGUUUUUGUGACGGUACCUGGAGAAGAAGCACCGGCUAACUACGUG